AUUGAACGCUGGCGGCAUGCCUAACACAUGCAAGUCGAACGGUAACAGGCAAAAGCUUGCUUUUGCGCUGACGAGUGGCGAACGGGUGAGUAACGCGUAGGGAUCUGCCCUGAAGCGGGGGAUAACCCGGGGAAACUCGGGCUAAUACCGCAUAUACUCUUCGGAGGAAAGGAUGGGAUUUUCGAACCAUUCACUUUAGGAUGAACCUGCGUCGGAUUAGCUUGUUGGUGGGGUAAAGGCCUACCAAGGCGAGGAUCUGUAGCUGGUCUGAGAGGACGAACAGCCACACUGGGACUGAGACACGGCCCAG
rnacentral:rRNA from 1 species